CAAUAGCGUAUAUUUAAGUUGUUGCAGUUAAAAAGCUCGUAGUUGGAUUUCGGGUAGGAUUUGCCGGUCCGUCUUUGAGAUGUGUACUGGUAAGUCCUAUCUUCUUGUCGGGGACCAGCUCCUGGGCUUCACUGUCCGGGACUGGGAGCCGACGAAUUUACUUUGAGUAAAUUAGAGUGUUCAAAGCAAGCCUACGCUCUGAAUAUAUUAGCAUGGAAUAACACGAUAGGACUCUGGCUUAUCUUGUUGGUCUGUGAGACCAGAGUAAUGAUUAAGAGGGACAGUCGGGGACAUUCGUAUUUCAUUGUCAGAGGUGAAAUUCUUGGAUUUAUGAAAGACGAACUUCUGCGAAAGCAUUUGUCAAGGAUGUUUUCAUUAA
rnacentral:rRNA from 1 species